UUCUCUGGAGAGUCUCAUCUAAGAGCGCCGAAGGUGUAAGUAUGCAGGGGCGGCCAUAUACAUGGUAUAUGUUGAUGCAUACAAUCUCUCAGGCAAAAGGACAGAGCAGA
rnacentral:ncRNA from 1 species